rnacentral:tRNA from 1 species
GGGGAUGUGGCUCAGUGGUAGAGUUCUUGCCUUCCAUGCACAAGGCCUUGGGUUCCAUCCCCA